UACAGAGGGUGCAAGCGUUAAUCGGAAUUACUGGGCGUAAAGCGUGCGCAGACGGUUGCGUAAGUCAGAUGUGAAAGCCCCGGGCUCAACCUGGGAAUUGCGCGCGAAACGGGGGGGCUUGAGUUCGGGAGAGGAGCGUGGAAUUCCCAGUGUAGAGGUGAAAUUCGUAGAUAUUGGGAAGAACACCAGUGGCGAAGGCGGCUAUCUGGACGGUUUCUGACGCUAAGACGCGAAAGCGUGGGGAGCAAACAGG
rnacentral:rRNA from 1 species